UACGUAGGGUGCAAGCGUUGUCCGGAAUUAUUGGGCGUAAAGAGCUUGUAGGCGGUUUGUCGCGUCUGCUGUGAAAUUUCGGGGCUCAACCCCGAACUUGCAGUGGGUACGGGCAGACUAGAGUGUGGUAGGGGAGACUGGAAUUCCUGGUGUAGCGGUGAAAUGCGCAGAUAUCAGGAGGAACACCGGUGGCGAAAGCGGCGCGCUGGACCUCUUCUGACGCUGAGGCGCGAAAGCUAGGGGAGCAAACGGG
rnacentral:rRNA from 1 species